ACGUCCUUAGCUUAGCCGGAUAGAGCAACGGCCUUCUAAGCCGUAGGUCACAGGUUCAAAUCCUGUAGGACGUG
rnacentral:tRNA from 1 species